rnacentral:rRNA from 1 species
GAUAAACGCUGGCGGCGUGCUUAACACAUGCAAGUCGAACGAAGUUUUUCCUUCGGGAGAAACUUAGUGGCGGACGGGUGAGUAACGCGUGGGUAACCUGCCCUGUACAGGGGGACAACAGCUGGAAACGGCUGCUAAUACCGCAUAAGCACUUAGCACUGCAUGGUGCAUAGGGAAAAGGAGCAAUCCGGUACAGGAUGGACCCGCGUCUGAUUAGCCAGUUGGCAGGGUAACGGCCUACCAAAGCGACGAUCAGUAGCCGAUCUGAGAGGAUGUACGGCCACAUUGGGACUGAGACACGGCCCAGACUCCUACGGGAGGCAGCAGUGGGGAAUAUUGCACAAUGGAGGAGACUCUGAUGCAGCGACGCCGCGUGAGUGAAGAAGUAUUUCGGUAUGUAAAGCUCUAUCAGCAGGGAAGAAAAUGACGGUACCUGACUAAGAAGCACCGGCUAAAUACGUG